GCCACCAAGCCUUCGAUGGAUAGGGGUUCUGAGAGGAAGGUCCCCCACAUUGGAACUGAGACACGGUCCAAACUCCUACGGGAGGCAGCAUG
rnacentral:rRNA from 1 species